GGGGGGGGGGGGGGGGGGGGGGGGCGGGUGGGGGGCGGGGGGGGGCUUCGGGUGUGGUGGCGCGCGGGUGCGGAGCACGGGGGCAUCUGCCCUUGGCGUCGGCCUAACCGUUAGGACUGCCUGCUAAUCCCGGAUGAUGUCGAAAGACCAGAGAUGUCUCGGCAACGGAUGAUCCCGCUGAGGAUUAGGUAGUUGGGGGGGUAAAGGCCUACCAAGCCGACGAUCCUUAGCUGGUCUGAGAGGAUGAGCAGUCACACUGGGACUGAGACAAGGCCCAGACUCCUACGGGAGGCAGCAGUGGGGAAGAUUGGAAAAUGGGCGAAAGCCUGAUCCAGCAAUGGCGCGUGAGUGAUGAAGGCCUUAGGGUUGUAAAGCUCUUUUACCAGGGAUGAUAAUGACAGUACCUGGAGAAUAAGCGCCGGCUAACUCCGUG
rnacentral:rRNA from 1 species